GAUGAACGCUGGCGGCGUGCCUAAUACAUGCAAGUCGAGCGAACAGACGAGGAGCUUGCUCCUCUGACGUUAGCGGCGGACGGGUGAGUAACACGUGGAUAACCUACCUAUAAGACUGGGAUAACUUCGGGAAACCGGAGCUAAUACCGGAUAAUAUAUUGAACCGCAUGGUUCAAUAGUGAAAGACGGUUUUGCUGUCACUUAUAGAUGGAUCCGCGCCGCAUUAGCUAGUUGGUAAGGUAACGGCUUACCAAGGCAACGAUGCGUAGCCGACCUGAGAGGGUGAUCGGCCACACUGGAAGUGAGACACGGUCCAGACGCCUACGGGAGGCAGCAGGAGGGAAUCUGCCGCAAUGGGCGAAAGCCUGACGGAGCAACGCCGCGUGAGUGAUGAAGGUCUUCGGAUCGUAAAACUCUGUUAUUAGGAAAGAAAAAAUGUGUAAGAAACUAUGCACGUCUGGACGGUACCUAAUCAGAAAGCCACGGCUAACUACGAG
rnacentral:rRNA from 1 species